AAGUCGUAACAAGGUUUCCGUAGGUGAACCUGCGGAAGGAUCAUUAGAAUGAGAGCCGGUCCGCGUGGUAAGGUCUGAAAAACCUCACGUGCCAGUAAGUGACCGUAAACCUCCACCCGUGCUUAUAUUACAACUGUUGCUUUGGUAGGCCGCGCACCGCAAGGUGAGAGCACCGGCUUCGGCUGGAGAGUGCCUGCCAGAGGACCCAAACUCUGAAAUUUAGUGACGUCUGAGUACUAUUUAAUAGUUAAAACUUUCAACAACGGAUCUCUUGGUUCUG
rnacentral:misc_RNA from 1 species